rnacentral:rRNA from 1 species
GACGAACGCUGGCGGCGUGCUUAACACAUGCAAGUCGAACGGUGAUGCUCCAGCUUGCUGGAGUGGAUCAGUGGCGAACGGGUGUGUAACACGUGAGCAACCUGCCCCAGACUCUGGAAUAAGCGCUGGAAACGGCGUCUAAUACUGGAUACGAAACUGGCCCGCAUGGGCAUGGUUUGGAAAGUUUUUCGGUUUGGGAUGGGCUCGCGGCCUAUCAGCUUGUUGGUGAGGUAAUGGCUCACCAAGGCGACGACGGGUAGCCGGCCUGAGAGGGCGACCGGCCACACUGGGACUGAGACACGGCCCAGACUCCUACGGGAGGCAGCAGUGGGGAAUAUUGCACAAUGGGCGAAAGCCUGAUGCAGCGACGCCGCGUGAGGGAUGACGGCCUUCGGGUUGUAAACCUCUUUCAGCAGGGAAGAAGCGAAAGUGACGGUACCUGCAGAAGAAGCACCGGCUAACUACGUG